GGGUGCUAAAUCUGUGCAUGCUUCAGGUACCCUGCAUUACUAACAGUACUUAUUUUUGGCAGACAAUGCAUCCUUUGGUGAAAGCCUGUUGAGGACUAUUCCACCACUGCUCAUGGAGUACUUGGAAAGCCUCCGAAUUGAAGUAUUAUUGGUCUUGAUACAAAGCCAGUGGAAAUAUCCACAUUACAUUUAAUGGCCUCUGGAGCACUUACAGAAAUGUGAUGUCUUACUGGCCCACUUGGUACAACCGCACCAGUGAAGAUCAUUCUAGUCUGAAAUGUGAGAAGUUUGACUUUAAGAACCAGAAUGUACCAAAAAGGGAACCCCUGACAGCUUUCACUCUGUGCCACAACAGAUGCUCCCCUGCUCAGACAGCUCAGGCUGUGGUCCUCCUUCCUGCAGAGAGAGCCCCUCAUGAUGUUCCCCUCAGACCUUAAUGAGUUUAGUCUGCAUGACUUCCCCUUCUGGUGACAUUAUCAGAAGGAAUUACUGUGUACCAUUACCUUUCGGCAAUGAAGGCUGACAGGUCUCCCUCCUCUCUCCUCUACCAAGCAACGUGCAGUUCCCCAAGACAGGAAGGUAUUGUCUAGAUUUGACCCUUUGAAGUUUCCCUCACCUCCACCUACAGCUUGCUGCAAUUUCAGUUCGUGCUGCCCUGUCCUGUGUGCUCAGAGGUGGUGGAUACCCCUGUGACUGUUAUAGCUGUGGUGCCAGGGACAGGGGAUGCUGUGCAAGGCUCCCCGUGACCCCUCCUGUCCAGUCCUGUUGGCGGGGACUGCUGACAAGGGGCAUGAAUCUGCAAGCUGGGAAGGCUGAAAGGAUGUAAUGUAAUGAUUUCUCAGGUGACUUCAAAACCGUUUAAAGAAAGAAAAACAUGCCCACCCCAAAUGACCUCUACAGUGGCAAUAAAUGAGCAUCCUACCAAAGUGCCA
ensembl:lncRNA